CCUACGGGGGGCAGCAGUGAGGAAUAUUGGUCAAUGGACGAGAGUCUGAACCAGCCAAGUAGCGUGAAGGAUGACUGCCCUAUGGGUUGUAAACUUCUUUUAUAUGGGAAUAAAAUGUUCCACGUGUGGGAUUUUGUAUGUACCAUAUGAAUAAGGAUCGGCUAACUCCGUGCCAGCAGCCGCGGUAAUACGGAGGAUCCGAGCGUUAUCCAGAUUUAUUGGGUUUAAAGGGAGCGUAGGUGGAUUGUUAAGUCAGUUGUGAAAGUUUGCGGCUCAACCGUAAAAUUGCAGUUGAAACUGGCAGUCUUGAGUACAGUAGAGGUGGGCGGAAUUCGUGGUGUAGCGGUGAAAUGCUUAGAUAUCACGAAGAACUCCGAUUGCGAAGGCAGUUCACUGGACUGCAACUGACACUGAGGCUCGAAAGUGUGGGUAUCAAACAGGAUUAGAUACCCCUGUAGUC
rnacentral:rRNA from 1 species